AGACCGCAAGUUUGCUGACAUCGGAAAUAAAGUAACCAUGGAAUAUGAAUGGUAAGAAAACAAGAUUAGUUUUUAUAUCAAUGUUAACUUAUUUCUUUAUAUCCUUUAUUAUAAUUUUUACCCCCCUUUUUUUACUUUGGUUGAGAGGAAUAUUUCGUAUAUUGGACUGGGCUGAUAUUGUUAAUGCGCAUUUGUACCUGGACCUGGGAUUGUAGAUGGCUUGAAGCUGAAGGGUUUGCCUAAAGGAAGAGGGCUACUUCUGCUUACUGAAAUGAGCUCUGCUGGCAACCUUGCUCAGGGAGAUUACACUGCUGCAACUGUAAAGAUUGCUGAGCAACAUCCUGACUUUGUGAUCGGGUUCAUAUCAGUAAAUCCUGCAUCUUGGUCGGUAGCACCAUCAAACCCAGCACCUAUCCAUGCGACCCCUGGAGUUUAGCUGGUCGCUGGAGGAGAUGCUCUUGGGCAACAAUACUGCUACACUCCUCAAGCUGUUUCAAGAAGUUUUUCAGAGUUACAAUCUUUAAAGCACCAUAUCUGUUGGCGGCUGUUGAUCACAAUGUUUCAAUCUUUAAAACAUACCGUUAUAGAAGACCAUUGGAGUAAUAUGUUCUAUUUGUGCAACACCGCGUAGCUUGAAAUACGCUAUAGUCUUGAUAAUGACGUUGAAUGGACUUAGCUAUAUAAACAAUAGUUUUGCUUUCCUUCAGUGGUUUAUGAAAAAUUGAUAGAUCCAAAAAAUUUACCCUAAAACCCAUCACAUUUAAUGUUUGGACACAUGCAUAAAGUAUUAAAUAAAAUUUGUUUACAAAACUUUUUA